rnacentral:rRNA from 1 species
GACGAACGCUGGCGGCGUGCCUAAUACAUGCAAGUAGAACGCACAGUUUAUACCGUAGCUUGCUACACCAUAGACUGUGAGUUGCGAACGGGUGAGUAACGCGUAGGUAACCUGCCUGGUAGCGGGGGAUAACUAUUGGAAACGAUAGCUAGUACCGCAUAAUAUUGAUUAUUGCAUGAUAAUUGAUUGAAAGAUGCUAUUGCAUCACUACCAGAUGGACCUGCGUUGUAUUAGCUAGUAGGUGAGGUAACGGCUCACCUAGGCGACGAUACAUAGCCGACCUGAGAGGGUGAACGGCCAAACUGGGACUGAGACACGGCCCAGACUCCUACGGGAGGCAGCAGUAGGGAAUCUUCGGCAAUGGACGAAAGUCUGACCGAGCAACGCCGCGUGAGUGAAGAAGGGUUUCGGAUCGUAAAGCUCUGUUGUAAGAGAAGAACGGGUGUGAGAGUGGAAAGUUCACACUGUGACGGUAUCUUAACAGAAAGGGACGGCUAACUACGUG